UGUCAAGACAUGCCCCUCGCGACUUACCAGUACCAAGCGCUCAAAGAGGCCCUCGCCGCUUCCAUCUCCACCGCCGGCGACGUGCGCCGCCCCCACGCCCUCGCCGUAGUGUCGGGUCUCGCCGGCAACGGCUACGUCGUCUCCCUCCUCGUAUCCCGCUACUUCCGCCUCGGCGCCGCCAAUGCCGCGCGCAGGGCGUUCGACGCUGUUCCCCUUCGCCGGGCAGCAUCGCUCCCCGUCUCGGCGCCGCCGCCUAAGCCCCUCCUCUACAACGCCAUGAUCCGCGGGUACCUCGCUCUCGGCCUCCCCCGCCUGGCGGUCGAUGUCUUCCGAGAGAUGGCGUGCCCGCCCGACCGCCACACGUACCACCUCGCCGUGACGGCGUGCGCUCGCGCGUCGGAGUUUGAGCUCGGUCGGCGUAUCGGGAGCGAAGCAUGCUCCAGAGGACUUUCAACCGACCUCCUGGUCGGGACGGCGCUGGUCGUAAUGCAUUCUGAAGCAGGUGACAUGGAGGCUGCUCUCACGGUGUUUGAUGAAAUGCCGCACCGCGAUGACGUGGUGUGGAAUGCCCUCAUUGCUGGCUAUGCCCGUGCGAAUUGCAUGGGAGAGGCUCUCAGGUUAUUCGUAAGGAUGAGGAUGGUGGAUGGAGUGUCUCCGACUGAGGCAACAUUGGUGAGCUUGGUUUCCGGGUUUGCAAGCUAUGGUUCUUGGAAGGUCUGCUAUAUGAUUCAUGCUGUUGUGAUUAGGUCUGGUUUCCACCUUAACGUCUGUGUUUGCAACGCUCUCCUGGAGCUUUAUCUUUACUCCGGCUGUUUGAGGGAGGCUGUCAUGUUGUUUCGUCAGAUGGAGGUGAAAGAUUCCAUCACUUGGAGUACGAUUAUUGGUGGGCUUGUUCGGAAUGGACGACCGAAUUCUGCUCUUAACCUUUUCCACUGGAUGCUGUCAAAUUCGACUGUGUCGGCCACUAGGUCCAUCUUGCUUAAUGUCAUUGCGGCCUGCGCUGAGCUGGGGGAGUGGGAACAAGGAAGAUGGAUUGAACAAAGCUAUGUGCUGGCUGAUUCUAGUGAAUUCAAUAGAGAUCCAUCUUUGGUAACUGCACUGAUAUAUAUGUAUGCAAGGUGUGGACAGUUAGAUUCUUCAAUUGCUCUUCUACAUGGAGUUGCAGCAAUGAGAGAUGACAUAGUUGCAUGGAAUGCCAUGAUCAAAGGCUGUGGAGUUCUCGGGCAUGUGGGAAAGGCAAUAGGAUUUGCAGUGGAAAUGCAGAGGGUAGGCAUUGAUCCAGAUGCUGUCACAUUCUUGGAGAUCCUACCUAUGAUUUCUUCGAUACCAUCACUGAAGAAGGGGAUGGAAGCACAUGGUCAGAUCGUUAAAAGAGGUUUCCAGAAUGAAAGGACAAUUGCUAAUUCACUCAUUACCAUGUAUGGUCGAUGUGGGGAUCUUAGACAUUCAUUUGACACCUUUAGUGGGAUUGUGGACAAGGAUGUAAUCUCUUGGACUUCUAUGAUUCAGGUAUACGCCUGGAAUGGACAUGCUGUUGAAGUUGUCGAGCUUUUUGAGCUGAUGAAGAAAACAGAAGUGAAACCGAACCGCUACACCUUUCUUGCUGUGCUGUCUGCAUGUAAGAACACAGGUCUUGUUGAAGAGGGAAUGGACUUGCUCAAGUUCAUGGAAGAGCAAUAUGGUCUUGAGCCGGAUGUUGAGCAUAUUUCAUGUGUUGUUGAUAUGCUCUGUCGUACUGGACGCUUGACUGAUGCAUAUGCAUAUGACCUGAUAAAAAGUACUAUUUCUGAACGUGUAGACAAUCAUAUAUUAUGGGGGAUAUUGCUAAGUGCUUCCCGUUCAUCUGGGGAUUUGGUGAUUGGAGAAGCAGCUGCCAGACAUCUCUUGUCUCUGGAUCCAGAAAAUCGAGCCAACUAUAAAAUGCUUGCUGAUAUUUAUGUCUCGCUUGGGAGAAGGGAUAGUGCUGAUAAUAUCCUUAGACUAUCAUUGUCAAGAGGGCUAGACUCGAAACCAGGCUGCAGCUGGACUGAAGGUGGCUAAAUGUUGCAAGUGCAUGCUAGAUGGAAAAUAAGUGUCAGGGAAAGAGAGAAUGUGUGGCACAUUCAGUGAGGGAUCAGGAACUGUUCUGAGUAGUAUCAGUUUCAACGCCAAUAGAAUUAUCAAAGCAAGCCACAGAAAUAACUCAGCAGCCAAAACAUGAAUCAGGAUGUGGAAACCCCUUUUCCUUUUUCUCGGACCAAGAACAACUUCUGUGGAGAUAUGCCCCACAAUCUAGCAAGGAUAGCCUCUCGUGGAUCAGAGCAAAGGAAGCUUACUGGGUGACAUGUACACAGAAACUCCGAGUGAAUCUUGCAUAAACUUCUGGGAUGGGAUCUUGCAAAGGUUCGUGCACAUACCGACACAGUUGGUGCUUUCCAGAAACCUGUCACCGAGUAAGAUAACAAAUUAAGUAAGAUAAGUACCACUUACGUCAAGAUUUGUUGGUAUGUCUGCACUCUGCACCUUAGUAAAUAUUUUCCUUAUGUUGGUGUUAAUUGGGAUAGUGUCUCAAACAUGGGUAGUACUGGUAUGUUGCAUUUGCCUCUUACUUUUCAUUUCUUCUUAUUUUCAGAAGGUAUUUUUCGCCUAUUCUCAUAGGCAGUUUGUGGAGUGUGAGUAGGAACAUCAGUCUGCCACAAUUGCGACAUGGACAGUACAAGUGGCAUGUCAGCCUUAGUACUUUCUUGCCUUUUCUUUCAAGUGGAUUUACUUAUAAGAUGGACAUACUGCAAUAAAUUCAUUCAAUCAAUGGGUGCAGAAUCAUGCACUGUUUAUUUCAAAAUAAGUUAAUUGUUUUUGCACCUAUGAAUGCUCAGAGCAACCGUUUGGACCAAUAUAUUUGGGACACCUUAUAUUCAACCUAGUUAAACUCAUUCCACAAUUUGUUUUCUUGCAUUUAGUUUCCUUAGCAUUAGCUACUCAGCGGAAAAGUUCCUCGGUUAUGAUUGAAUUACCUGCAUUUGGGGAUGUACACCACAUUCUUCUCUCUCGUUCCAUCGACUUCAGAUUCCCUGACCUUGUUCAAUGACAUAAUAAUGAUCACUCAGAAAACUUAUCCAAAGUGGGGAGUGUAUUCCAUGUGGGACUGCAUUAAAGAAAUAUUAAUAUAUGUACUAUAAAUGUCUUGUAUAUUGCUACAUCCAAGCCACAUCCUACCACUUUUGCAAUAUUUAUCAACUUGGCAUGUGGCUUUAUAUCGGUUCAUUUUGGGCAGGGCUCACCAGAAGCACUAGCAUGGAGUCUUUCUUUGAAUGAUGCCCUCCUUGAGGGCAGGCUACUUAUUUUAUGAAGUGAAAUAUUGCAUAUUUAUUGCAUGGAGCAAGAACAUGUCAAGGAGAGAAAAUCUGUUGAUAUAGUACCUCACAUGGUCCAACCAGCCAAGGGAAGAAUAUGGUGGUGAAGGCAGCAAAGUACUCCCUGGAAAAUCUUGAAGGCGGCAUCAUCACCUUUAUCUGCCCAAACAGAAUUCUGUCAAACCAAAAUCCAGGAACUCACAUGGGUAAAACCACAUGAAGGAUAGAGGAUCAUUCCAAAGCUGGCAAAUAUGUAUACGAUCAAGCACGAACCGGAAGCUUCUUGAAGUUUCCUGGAGAGGUAGCCAAUGGCCAGGUUGUCGAACCAGGUGUCGUGGUACACCGUCGUCGUCGUCGUGGCCGCGGCCGUCUCCCUCACCGGCCUUGUUGGCGCCGGUGCCGGGACCCGAGCUAGCGUCGCUUCUUGUGGCCUCGCCAUGACCCCUCGCACCGUGGAGCUCCGCUUGAUCCUCCUCACGUAGCUCUUCUUCGUCACGCAGGAGACACCUCUUCCGCCCACGCAUGGGGGUGCUCUGGCCGUGAGGCCGCUGUGGCUGUGAGGGAGGAGCACAAGUGCGGUGGCCUCCAUGUUUAUGGCCUGUCUAGCUAUGAGUGUGUGUGUGAGAGAGAGGGAGGGGUAUAUUUGUAGAGUGGGAGAAGAGGAAGAGUCGAAGGAGUAUUUGUAGGAUGUUAAUUCCUAAGCUUAUGAUUUGACUCGUAUGGAGGGAGACGAGGAGGAAAAGCCCAAACGGCAGGGAGGGGGGCAUCUUGGUGUGGUGGGACGAUGGAAUCAAGGCUAACAUCAUGUUCCACGAGUCGAGAUCCUCACCUCGGAAUGGACAAGAGCGAGCUGUGUCAGUUUCUAAUGGGCUUUGCCUAUUGAUGCUCCCUCCUUUAGUCAGUUGGACCAGGCGAAAAGAUCCAUGGACAUGAGUUUUUUUUUUUGAGAUGCCGUAGACAUGAGAAUUGAUAACACUUUCCCGGGCACCCGCUCGUUUCCACGGCGACAUAUGUCUGCACUUCCGUGUAUGCUGGUGUUUAAAUUGUUGCACCAACUUGGACCCCGGACCGACCAAUUCUAACAUUUCGUAUAUGCAUUUUUUUUUGCAAAA